rnacentral:rRNA from 1 species
UGCAAGUCGAACGGAAACGAUGGAAGCUUGCUUCCAGGCGUCGAGUGGCGGACGGGUGAGUAAUGCUUGGGAAUCUGCCUAAUAGUGGGGGAAAACUCGAGGAAACUCGGGCUAAUACCGCAUAAUCUCUUCGGAGGAAAGGGGGCCUCUACAUGUAAGCCCUCGCUAAUAGAUGAGCCCAAGUCAGAUUAGCUUGUUGGUGAGGUAACUGCUCACCAAGGCAACGAUCUGUAGCUGGUCUGAGAGGACGAUCAGCCACACUGGGACUGAGACACGGCCCAGACUCCUACGGGAGGCAGCAGUGGGGAAUAUUGCACAAUGGGGGAAACCCUGAUGCAGCAAUACCGCGUGUGUGAAGAAGGCUCUAGGGUUGUAAAGCACUUUCAAUAGAGAAGAAAAGCUUAGGGUUAAUACCCCUAAGUAUUGACGUAACCUAUAGAAGAAGCACCGGCUAAAUCCGUGCCAGCAGCCGCGGUAAUACGGAUGGUGCGAGCGUUAAUCGGAAUUACUGGGCGUAAAGAGCACGUAGGCUGUUUUAUAAGUCGGAUGUGAAAUCCCCGGGCUUAACCUGGGAACUGCAUCCGAAACUAUUUAACUAGAGUAUGGGAGAGGUAAGUAGAAUUUCCGGUGUAGCGGUGAAAUGCGUAGAUAUCGGAAGGAAUACCAGUGGCGAAGGCGGCUUACUGGACCAAUACUGACGCUGAGGUGCGAAAGCGUGGGGAGCGAACAGGAUUAGAUACCCUGGUAGUCCACGCCGUAAACGAUGAGAACUAGACGUUGGGAGGGUUAGCCUUUCAGUGUCGCAGCUAACGCAUUAAGUUCUCCGCCUGGGGAGUACGACCGCAAGGUUGAAACUCAAGGAAUUGACGGGGACCCGCACAAGCGGUGGAGCAUGUGGUUUAAUUCGAUGA